GCACUGCUGAGGAGUCCCAUAAUAGUACGAAACGGCUGUCCAGUGC
rnacentral:hammerhead_ribozyme from 1 species